AAGAGGCCAGUGAAAGACAAGAUGAAUACCACAGAUGAUGCAAGCCUAAGUUUGCAAGAAAUCAAAGCAUUGAUUCCUGAUGCAUUCCUGGUGAAUUGAGGUCCGUCAGACCAUGAAGCUGUUGCCACAACAAUCUGCUUGCACUCUGAGACCAGCUUCCAAGGCUUUGAGUCAUCUCAGAUAAAUGGAAAAUAAGCCAUGGAGUCAGAUGAGGAUAAGAAAGGAAAGAAGGAAGGGAAGAAGGAAGAUAAGAUCACUUGGCUGAGCCUCUCAUCUCAUUUGGAUUACCCCAGUCAGGACCAUUGGUUCACUCAGACAUAUUUGGGGGCAUAUUCUAAAUGCUCAGGCAAGAUUUCAAAAGCUUCCAAGUCACUGGAGGAGGAGGGCAAGGCCAUCCAAAAUUAGAAUUGAGAGAACUGUGAUUGCAUCCAGCAAGAACCAGGCUGGGAAAGAAGGUAGGAUGUUCUUCCUGGAAUUCCACAGUGCACCAAAAAAGACGGUCAGUGGGAAAAUGAAGAUAAGGUCAACUUUCCCUCAGGAGUGCAAAGGACAAGAAAUAGGCUAACAAUGGAUUGAGACUUC